ensembl:rRNA 5S_rRNA 5S ribosomal RNA
ACAGCCAGCCACACCACUUCAGGCUGCGAUCCUGUCAGAUCUUGGAAGCUAAACAGGGUUGGUUCUGGUCAGUAUUUGGAUGGGAGACCUUUGCGGAAAACCCGGAGAAGUGACGUU